GACGAACUCUGGCGGCGUGCUUAACACAUGCAAGUCGAACGGAAAGGCCCUGCUUUUGUGGGGUGCUCGAGUGGCGAACGGGUGAGUAACACGUGAGUAACCUGCCCUUGACUUUGGGAUAACUUCAGGAAACUGGGGCUAAUACCGGAUAGGAGCUCCUGCUGCAUGGUGGGGGUUGGAAAGUUUCGGCGGUUGGGGAUGGACUCGCGGCUUAUCAGCUUGUUGGUGGGGUAGUGGCUUACCAAGGCUUUGACGGGUAGCCGGCCUGAGAGGGUGACCGGCCACAUUGGGACUGAGAUACGGCCCAGACUCCUACGGGAGGCAGCAGUGGGGAAUAUUGCACAAUGGGCGGAAGCCUGAUGCAGCAACGCCGCGUGCGGGAUGACGGCCUUCGGGUUGUAAACCGCUUUCGCCUGUGACGAAGCGUGAGUGACGGUAAUGGGUAAAGAAGCACCGGCUAACUACGUGCCAGCAGCCGCGGUGAUACGUAGGGUGCGAGCGUUGUCCGGAUUUAUUGGGCGUAAAGGGCUCGUAGGUGGUUGAUCGCGUCGGAAGUGUAAUCUUGGGGCUUAACCCUGAGCGUGCUUUCGAUACGGGUUGACUUGAGGAAGGUAGGGGAGAAUGGAAUUCCUGGUGGAGCGGUGGAAUGCGCAGAUAUCAGGAGGAACACCAGUGGCGAAGGCGGUUCUCUGGGCCUUUCCUGACGCUGAGGAGCGAAAGCGUGGGGAGCGAACAGGCUUAGAUACCCUGGUAGUCCACGCUGUAAACGGUGGGUACUAGGUGUGGGGUCCAUUCCACGGGUUCCGUGCCGUAGCUAACGCUUUAAGUACCCCGCCUGGGGAGUACGGCCGCAAGGCUAAAACUCAAAGGAAUUGACGGGGCCCCGCACAAGCGGCGGAGCAUGCGGAUUAAUUCGAUGCAACGCGUAGAACCUUACCUGGGUUUGACAUGGAUCGGGAGUGCUCAGAGAUGGGUGUGCCUCUUUUGGGGUCGGUUCACAGGUGGUGCAUGGCUGUCGUCAGCUCGUGUCGUGAGAUGUUGGGUUAAGUCCCGCAACGAGCGCAACCCUUGUUCACUGUUGCCAGCACGUUAUGGUGGGGACUCAGUGGAGACCGCCGGGGUCAACUCGGAGGAAGGUGGGGAUGACGUCAAGUCAUCAUGCCCCUUAUGUCCAGGGCUUCACGCAUGCUACAAUGGCUGGUACAGAGAGUGGCGAGCCUGUGAGGGUGAGCGAAUCUCGGAAAGUCGGUCUCAGUUCGGAUUGGGGUCUGCAACUCGACCUCAUGAAGUCGGAGUCGCUAGUAAUCGCAGAUCAGCAACGCUGCGGUGAAUACGUUCCCGGG
rnacentral:rRNA from 1 species